GUUAUUGUGCCCAGUGGUGGUUGCACUAUGAGGGGGUCCUGUUUAUACCUGUACCACCUCCUUCCUGGGGACGCCAAGGCCAAGAUCCUGAAGAUUUUUUUCCUUAAUCAGAAAGGUCAAAGAUGCCAUUAAAGAGGCGACUGCUGUCCAUGUUGUUGUACUGUCUUCAACGUGUGGCCUCGCUCUUCUGCCGUCACCCAAAACACAACAAGAACUGCCUCUCUGGUGGAGCCCGGAAUCUGGCGUCCAUCUUCCAGCAGCUUGCCCAGAGGGCCACUCGGCUGAUGCAGACAAUUCUGUGAUCCACGCCUUGGUCACCUGUAAGAUCCUCAAAACCACUGGACUAGUACUACGACUACUAUUAUUAUUCCAACAAAUUGAAACAAUUCCAUUAUAAUUAUUAUCAUGAAAUUAAAAUGAGUAAUUUAUGGUA